rnacentral:misc_RNA from 1 species
UAACCCCUCAAGCUCAGCUUGGUAUUGGGGCCUGCCAUCCUGGCAGCCCUUAAAAUCAGUGGCGGUGCCAUCCGGCUCUAAGCGUAGUAACUCCUCUCGCUAUGGAGUCCUGGUGGAUGCUUGCCAUUAAUCUUUUAACUUCUAU